UUCUUCAUAGGUGUAGGCAUCCGUUUCUUCUUUUCUCAAACUGCAUCCACUCGUGCUUCUUGCCUUUGGUUCUCCAUCUACCUUUGCUCUGCCUCUGCGUAUCCUGGUUUGUCAUCACCGUCGUGGUCGUCGUGCUUGGGCUAGCCGUCUGCCUCUCCUUCUCCUCUGAAUCAACUUCUACGUGUGCCAGAAAGCUUCGGGUCCGGUAUAUUGUGUUCAGUCCAAAAAAUUCUUGUGGAAAGAAUAAGCUCUGUGUUCUGGGCAGACUUGCAGCUGUUGCUUUUGCUGGUAUUACAUCAACUUUUAGGGAACAAUG